rnacentral:rRNA from 1 species
AGACCCGAAACCCGGUGAUCUAGCCAUGGGCAGGUUGAAGGUUGGGUAACACUAACUGGAGGACCGAACCGACUAAUGUUGAAAAAUUAGCGGAUGACCUGUGGCUGGGGGUGAAAGGCCAAUCAAACCGGGAGAUAGCUGGUUCUCCCCGAAAGCUAUUUAGGUAGCGCCUCGUGAAUUCAUCUCCGGGGGUAGAGCACUGUUUCGGCUAGGGGGCCAUCCCGGCUUACCAACCCGAUGCAAACUGCGAAUACCGGAGAAUGUUAUCACGGGAGACACACGGCGGGUGCUAACGUCCGUCGUGAAGAGGGAAACAACCCAGACCGCCAGCUAAGGUCCCAAAGUCAUGGUUAAGUGGGAAACGAUGUGGGAAGGCCCAGACAGCCAGGAUGUUGGCUUAGAAGCAGCCAUCAUUUAAAGAAAGCGUAAUAGCUCACUGGUCGAGUCGGCCUGCGCGGAAGAUGUAACGGGGCUAAACCAUGCACCGAAGCUGCGGCAGCGAACGUAUCACCCAAGACAACUUUACGGAGUUGACGAUUGACGGAGCGAAGCGACGUCAAAGCGUUCAUUAAAGUCAAGUUGGCUUAGGGAUACGUUCGUUGGGUAGGGGAGCGUUCUGUAAGCCUGUGAAGGUGUGUCGUGAGGCAUGCUGGAGGUAUCAGAAGUGCGAAUGCUGACAUAAGUAACGAUAAAGCGGGUGAAAAGCCCGCUCGCCGGAAGACCAAGGGUUCCUGUCCAACGUUAAUCGGGGCAGGGUGAGUCGACCCCUAAGGCGAGGCCGAAAGGCGUAGUCGAUGGGAAACGGGUUAAUAUUCCCGUACUUGGUGUUACUGCGAAGGGGGGACGGAGAAGGCUAUGUUGGCCGGGCGACGGUUGUCCCGGUUUAAGCGUGUAGGUGUGUGUUCCAGGUAAAUCCGGUUCACUUUAACACUGAGGCGUGACGACGAGGCACUACGGUGCUGAAGCAACAAAUGCCCUGCUUCCAGGAAAAGCCUCUAAGCAUCAGGUAACACGAAAUCGUACCCCAAACCGACACAGGUGGUCAGGUAGAGAAUACCAAGGCGCUUGAGAGAACUCGGGUGAAGGAACUAGGCAAAAUGGUGCCGUAACUUCGGGAGAAGGCACGCUGACACGUAGGUGAAGUGAUUUACUCAUGGAGCUGAAGUCAGUCGAAGAUACCAGCUGGCUGCAACUGUUUAUUAAAAACACAGCACUGUGCAAACACGAAAGUGGACGUAUACGGUGUGACGCCUGCCCGGUGCCGGAAGGUUAAUUGAU